rnacentral:rRNA from 1 species
UACGUAGGGCGCAAGCGUUAUCCGGAAUUAUUGGGCGUAAAGAGCUCGUAGGCGGUUUGUCGCGUCUGCCGUGAAAGUCCGGGGCUCAACUUCGGGCUUGCAGUCGAUACGGGCAGGCUAGAGUUCGGUAGGGGAGACUGGAAUUCCUGGUGUAGCGGUGAAAUGCGCAGAUAUCAGGAGGAACACCGAUGGCGAAGGCAGGUCUCUGGGCCGAUACUGACGCUGAGGAGCGAAAGCGUGGGGAGCGAACAGG